AGCAGUGCGAUAACUUCAGGUGCUCGCUGUUGGAGCAUAAAAGAGAACCCCGUGCGAAUCGGGGGCGGGCCCGCCGCUGUAACCGGGGACGAACGUCGCAUCAGGUCACUGUCUUGUUAUGAGGACGGGAAGACGCGGCAAGUAGGCUGAGCCGGAAGCCAGAAAACCUGCCUGAAGGAUAUAUGAUGG
rnacentral:ncRNA from 2 species